CAUGCAAGAAGUCUUAAUACUUGACACUAUAAAAUCGAUUCAGAUUCUACUUUAUAUAAAAAGAAUCCUUAUUUAAAAUUAUGUAACAAAUUAUAACUACAACUAAUUGUAACAUUAGGACGUUGAAGUUCGCCAGGAUGUUUAUUUAAAAGAAACUGUCACUGAGACUCUCGUAUGUUUUAUUUUUUGCACCACACAAAGCAUUUGUUGAUAGGAACUAUUGACAUAUUUGUCUUUGACUUGGAAAUUAGUUACUUUUAAAGGUUUAAUUAUUGCUUUAAGAGUCAACUUUAUUUUUUUUGUCUUUACUUUGUGAUGCAUUUGUUAUUCAUGGUAGAUUGCUUUAAGAGUCAACUAAUUGUUGCUUCACUCUCCAAUUGCAUAUUAGUGUGUAGUGUGAAAUGUGUUCAGAUCCAAUGGAUUAGAGAUAUGCUAAGUGGAUGCUAAAAUAUGGAGAAGAGAAAGGGAAUAGUUCCUUUGACACCUCUUUAAACCAUAGAGAAAGAAAUGAAAAGGCUUUUGUAUUAGUAUGAACUCUUUCAUUUUUGGAUAAAGUAGUGUGAACUCUUUCAUUUUCUUGACACUUCUGGAGCACGUAUAGUAUUCCUGUAUUGAUGAUACAAUGCCCUUUGCAAAGAAUCAUGUUUUUGUACAAAAUCUCUGCUCUUCUUGUAUACAGCUCGUAUGUGAGGUUCUUCCCAUCAAAUAAUUAUAAUUAUUAACUUCGUAAAAAUCUCAUCCUUAUCUCUCAAAAGAAUGCUGCUCGUAUGUGAGGUUCUUCCCAUCAAAUAAUUAUAAUUAUUAACUUCGUAAAAAUCUCAUCCUUAUCUCUCAAAAGAAUGCUGCUCGUAUGUGAGGUUCUUCCCAUCAAAUAAUUAUAAUUAUUAACUUCGUAAAAAUCUCAUCCUUAUCUCUCAAAAGAAUGCUGCUGAUUCAUCAGAGUGACUCAGAUCCAAUGUGCAUUUACUUAUUCUUGUUCGACUCACAUGGAUCCUAUGUACUUUUUCCAACUCUGCUACAGAGACUACCUCUUUAGAAAAACAUCAGAAACAGAGCAAGCUUACAAAUUUAAACAAGAGGUAUAGAAUCAUUAAAGGUUGAUGUAUGCAAGAUAUAUAUCAACACAAAAUAUAAAACACUAUUCAGGUGACACUUAAAAUUUAUUUCAAUUGCUUUUCACAUCUCAAAUAAAUCAUUUGAUGCUUCUACUUCUUAUGAAAAGACUAACAAGAGAAGCAGUAUUCACCUGCUCAAAGUUGUUCACGAAUGUAAGCCAUCGAUCUCAACAUUGAUCCUAGUGUAUCCCUUGAAA
rnacentral:lncRNA from 1 species